CCUAGCAGCAUUUUAAUAUAAACAAGGGAAUGUUUGAAUAUUACUGAAUAAUAUUGUGUGUAUUUUCCUACCAUAAAAUAAAAAAAAAGAUAUAAUUGCCCACAAAACUGACUUAUGGUCCUUGAAGGGACUAUAUUAUUAUUAUCGUCAUUUAUAUAGUGAUAUUCUGCAGCGCUUUACAAGAUUAUAAAGGGGUAAAUUUAACAAUACAACAUGUUACAGGAGCAUCAUGUUGAUGAGGGCCAUGCUCAAAAGAGCUUACAUUCCAAGCACCAUAACACUAUAGUUUAUUGUACAUGUUAUAAUGUAAGGAGACUUUGGGUGAAGUCGUUUUUGAUUUUUGUUAAACAGUUCUCAAACAAGUUAACAAAAAUGGGUGUCUCCACACUACACAAAAAAAUAAUGAAGGUGUUUCUUUGUUUACUUCUUAAUAUUUGUUAGUAGACUUUACCUUCAACUUGGCAAAUUAUGACAAACCCCUGUGUCACAGGGAGCCUGUCUUAAU